UACGUAGGGACCGAGCGUUGUCCGGAUUCAUUGGGCGUAAAGAGCUCGUAGGCGGCUGUUCAAGUCGAACGUGAAAACUCGGAGCUCAACUCCGAGCCUGCGUUCGAUACUGGAUGGCUAGAGUCUGGUAGGGGGAUCUGGAAUUCCUGGUGUAGCGGUGGAAUGCGCAGAUAUCAGGAGGAACACCGGUGGCGAAGGCGACUACCUGGCCUGUUCUUGACGCUGAGGCGCGAAAGCUAGGGGAGCAAACGGG
rnacentral:rRNA from 1 species